rnacentral:rRNA from 1 species
AGCAGCCGCGGUAAUUCCAGCUCCAAUAGCGUAUAUUAAAGUUGUUGCAGUUAAAAAGCUCGUAGUUGAAUUUCGGAAUCUGCCCAUCGGUCGUGCUUCACUGUUCGUACUGGUGUGGUGGGUUCUUACCUUCUGAAUAACCAGCAUGCCAUUCACUUGGUGUGCUGGGGAAGCAGGACUAUUACCUUGAAAAAAUUAGAGUGCUCAAAGCAGGCUAGUGCCUGAAUACAUUAGCAUGGAAUAAUAAAAUAGGACGGCAUGGUUCUAUUUUGUUGGUUUGCACACCAGGGUA